CCGGGGACCUCGCGCCCGCGCUCUGUUGUUGUGCCUGCCCUCUGCUGUGCCUGGAGACAGAACGCCUUCACACACUUCACUGCAUGGCUGCCUUGGAACACCCCCGCGUUUCCUCCGUGUGGACCCAGCCUUCCGCGCGAUGAGUAGUGGGAAUUGUAGUUCGCCCGCAGCUGCUGGCCCUGCGGCUCUCCCGACCAGGCUAUGCGGAAGAGCGAGCCCUCGAUCACCAAUGGGAAGGUCUUUUCAGCCUCGAGGCCGAACCUUGGGGAGUUGGGAGUUUACACUUUCCAUUUCUGGGAGUGACACCUGGAGGUCAAAUGAUGGAGAUAUGAAAAUCAGUAAGCGUUCUGUCUGACGAGGGCAAAACCCGCCUUCUGCGCUCCUCCCCCUUGCUCCCCGCCUGUCUCCCAGUUUCUGCCCCCUCCUCCGCCCGGUCUCGCUUUACUCCUUUUUCCUUGUGUCUCUAUAGCUAGACGGCCUGCUGGCUCCGCCACUGAGUGGCUGUGAGACCCUGAGGGUAGUUAACUUCUGUUCCUCAGCUUCUUUAUCUGUAAAAUAGGGAUAGAAUGGUACCUGCGUCCUAGGGUUAUUUGAGGACAAAGUGAGUUCAUGCUAAGGCUCUUAGAAGAGUAUCUUUUCGCAUAGUAAGUGCUCAAUUAAAUGUUAGCUUUGAUACCCUUCUCCCAACGUCCCCCUCCAAAAAGGGGGAGAGAGAAAGGUUGAUAAUAAUAAUAAUAGGUGUGCACCACUAAGUUGUGAGCUUUUUAUUUGGGACAGGUACUGCCAUAUCUUACUAGACUUACUACUAUGAGGUACCACCACCCAGAACCCAUAGCGCUUGUAAGUCUCUGUAAGUGUUUUUUGAAGAAUGAGGUUCGUGUCAUCAAGAUGGGUAACUGAGUGGCAAUCCAGCAUCUUCUAGAUAAAACUCAGGGUAAGACUUGGUAAAUUGGAUGGCCUAGGCCUAGUGGGGAAAACACAAGUAUAUUUGGUGAUGCUUGUGGGCACGUGUUGUACACACGGUCUUUCCUCGUUAAUUUAGGAGCAAAGAAACAGUAAAUGAAACAAUUUGGCUAGAACAUGGCGGUAUUUUCGAGCCGCAGGCCGGAGUGUGUCAUAGGAAGGUUUUCUGCCCUGGGUAAGCUUUAGGGCCUCUCCCAACUCCGAAGCUAGAAAGUAACGACCAUCCAUCCAUACCUUUCUGCAUACCUACUGCUCUCUGAAUACGUGAAUUGAUUAACCAAAUUCCUUGUGGAUUAAAUAGGCUCUGAAGACUCUUGCUUUGUAGAUUUGGGACGAAUAAUUCUGAGUUUGUGGGAGGUCUGACCCUGCUAACAUCCACCAGUAUCCUCCUUCCCUGAUUAGAGAUGACUUGACCAUGGGGGGGGAGGGGAAACCCCUCUGACAGAAAUAUAAUCAUUUUAAUAUGUCUCCCUCUAGAUCCAGAGAAGCCCAUAACUUACAAACACUUUUAAAGUCAGUAUUUAUUAUACCACAGUCUGAGAAAGGGUUUUUUUUUUUUCCUAAUUCUGCUGGACUGGCCCCUCUGAAGACCUCAACUGUCCAAAAAACAUAGAUCAGCCAUAUUCAUUCUCUUUCUCCAGCCACCACUACUGUUCAGCUGUUGACAGCUGUGUUACUCAAACUGCUUUUCACUGCUUCCCAUAGCGAUUAGAACACAAAGUUUCAUAACCCGUGAUGACUUCUCAAAGUACUUCAGGGACUCUUUGCCAGCACUUAUUUGCAUAGGCAUUGCUCCAGGUAUCCCAUCUGUAGCUGCCCUUUGGGGAGGAAAUACUUCUCAACCUUGGGUAACCUGCAGAAGGUAACUCCACCUUGUCUCCUUGCUCUGUUGCUUCAGAUGCGUGCACACAGUUUGGGUAUUUGGCAAAACAUAUUUUUGUUUGCGUUUAAAGGAGAACUACCACCAAGUUGGGAAGCAGAAGGUAAAACAUUUUCAGCAAGAAAUGUUGGUGUGGUUUUCGGAACGGAUUUCCGUCCCCCUCUUACUGUUGCAUUCCAUUUGCCCACAUUUGACUCCGAAUAAAGCUCUAGGCCUUUGGAGCACA